rnacentral:ribozyme from 1 species
GUGUGUGUUAAAAAAAAAAAAAAAUUUAAAAAAAAAAAAUCGAUUUGUUUUUUUUUUCUUGUUCCCUUUGCUGGUCGAUGGGUUGGUUAGCUUCUGUGACCCAUCCGAACUCUAACGAGAUCAUUGA